rnacentral:rRNA from 1 species
GAUCAUGGCUCAGAACGAACGCUGGCGGCGCGCCUAAUACAUGCAAGUCGAGCGAGAAGGUGUAGCAAUACACUUGUAAAGCGGCGAACGGGUGAGGAAUGCAUGGGUAACCUACCCUCGAGUGGGGAAUAACUAGCCGAAAGGUUAGCUAAUACCGCAUACGUUUCCGGAACUUCGGUUUCGGAAAGAAAGCAAUACCGUGGGUAUUGCGCUCCUGGAUGGGCUCAUGUCCUAUCAGCUUGUUGGUGAGGUAACGGCUCACCAAGGCUUCGACGGGUAGCUGGUCUGAGAGGACGAUCAGCCACACUGGCACUGCGACACGGGCCAGACUCCUACGGGAGGCAGCAGUAAGGAAUAUUGCGCAAUGGACGAAAGUCUGACGCAGCGACGCCGCGUGGGGGAUGAAGGUCUUCGGAUUGUAAACCCCUUUCGGGAGGGAAGAUGGAGUGGGUAACCACUUGGACGGUACCUCCAGAAGCAGCCACGGCUAACUUCGUG